AAGCGGAUAGUUUAUAUAAAACAUUAAGUCGCAAACUUGAAGUAGGAUUUUCCCUCCGUUUU
rnacentral:tRNA from 1 species